GACGAACGCUGGCGGCGUGCUUAACACAUGCAAGUCGAACGGUGAACCUCUUCGGAGGGGAUCAGUGGCGCACGGGUGAGUAACACGUGGGCAACCUGCCCCCGGCUCUGGGAUAACUCCAAGAAAUUGGGGCUAAUACCGGAUGUUCACCGCUUCCCGCAUGGGUGGUGGUGGAAAGGGUUUCCGGCUGGGGAUGGGCCCGCGGCCUAUCAGCUUGUUGGUGGGGUAGUGGCCUACCAAGGCGACGACGGGUAGCCGGCCUGAGAGGGUGACCGGCCACACUGGGACUGAGACACGGCCCAGACUCCUACGGGAGGCAGCAGUGGGGAAUAUUGCGCAAUGGGCGGAAGCCUGACGCAGCGACGCCGCGUGGGGGAUGACGGCCUUCGGGUUGUAAACCUCUUUCAGCAGGGACGAAGCGCAAGUGACGGUACCUGCAGAAGAAGCACCGGCCAACUACGUG
rnacentral:rRNA from 1 species